rnacentral:lncRNA from 1 species
UCGAUCUAUAUUGGUCAAAGUACAUCCAAAGGUUGUUCUUUGUGUUCAUCAAUUUUUUGGGUAACCCAGAAAACAUGGUUAUGCUCGGUCAACGACUUUUGACAAUUAAUUUCAGUAAUCCUAUGAAUUGUUUAAGCAAUUGAGUGUCAUAGAUAUGUAGUAUGUAUAUCAAGGUAUUAAUUCAUUACAAUAAGUCAUUAAAACAUCAAAC